AUUCGUGUGGGUAGUGGAGAGAGAGAAAAUGAUAGAUAAAAACCCGUUUGGGUUUGUCAUGGAUUUCCAUCCACGACAGACAUUUUCUUAAGCUUCCAAAUUCUUCAUACAAACACUUGUCUAAUAUUUUCAGCUUCUAACACGGCAGCAGACAUUUCCUUAUUUUGCUUCUCCGAAGUGCUUGGGAAAAGAUAACCCAAGAGAACCUUCUAAGUGAAGCCUGUCCUUGCUGCUUGACCUUAGGAAACCAUGGGAAGUGUGUGGCCAUCUCUGCAAGGAUGCUGGGUGUGAAGAGUUCUAGAGUCUGUGUGGUGAUCAGUACCAUUUCCAGAGUCUGUGUUGUGAUCAGUACCAUUUCCUUACUGUCAAAAACGGCCGCGGGCAGAAAAUUACCAUCUUCCCUAUUGUACCUGAGGAUGAACACAAAAACCCUACAUAGCUCCAUUUUCUUAUAUUAGCAAAAGUUCUGGAAAAUAUUACAAAUUAUUCAUGGAAGAAAUGAAUGACAUUUUCAAAUACUAGGUAUAGACACCUGCAAAUCUCUAAUUUUCCUCAGGUUAAGACUUGCUUUUCUUUUCUGUUGCAAUUUAAACUUGAAAAAAUAUUUUUUCUUUUUUUUUUUUUUCUUUCUUAACGGAGAGGAGGGGAGGGAAGGGGCGAGGAGGGAGGGGAGAAGUCACUUGAAAAAAUAUUUAUAGGUAAUAUUGAAUUCUUGAUCUCACAUCUCUUAACAGAGAAUUUGUCUUGCCUCUUUCAAAGUACUUUCGCAACAAUGAGUUUUUCAUUUUCACCUGUUAAUGUCACAUACUCUGUAUUUUUAGUAUACUUCAAGCAGACAUUGUCAAUAUGUGCAUUAAAGGAACAUAAAGAAAAAUCUCCCCUUGGCCAGCCAAUCUGUGGAGUCUGUGGAGAUGUACAAUGCUGUUAAUUCCUCUGAGCUCCAUCUGUGGAAAUGAUGAAGGCUAGCCAUUAUGUAGGAUUGUGAGGUUAAAUUAAUUAGGUUCUUCCAUUAUAAUGCAGUCUUCUGGAGAUGGUUGCCAUUUUCCCUUUAAAUGUCAUUAUUUCUAGAUCUAGUUAGCAGCUGAUGCAGUUAAAGAGGAGAUAAUGUAAAUUUAGCAAUACGAAUAACACUUUCUUUCAUGUAUGUUGAAAAACGCAAGACAAGAAGGACCAGCCAAGUUGUACCUGCCUGCCAUAAACAACUGAUGUAACUCAUACUUUAAAGGAAUAAACUAAAACCAGCCAGUGUGCACUUGGAUUCUUUUCUUCAGUAAAUUCUUGAAUCAAUACUUUUGUUUCAUGUUUUCAUGUUCUCAGUAAUGUUAACAUAUCCAGUUACAAAC